GGACUACACGGGUAUCUAAUCCUGUUUGCUCCCCACGCUUUCGCACCUCAGCGUCAGUAUCGGGCCAGUGAGCCGCCUUCGCCACUGGUGUUCUUGCGAAUAUCUACGAAUUUCACCUCUACACUCGCAGUUCCACUCACCUCUCCCGAACUCAAGAUCGCCAGUAUCAAAGGCAGUUCCGAGGUUGAGCCCCGGGAUUUCACCUCUGACUUAAUGAUCCGCCUACGUGCGCUUUACGCCCAGUAAAUCCGAACAACGCUAGCCCCCUUCGUAUUACCGCGGCUGCUGGCAC
rnacentral:rRNA from 1 species